rnacentral:lncRNA from 1 species
CUCAUUCAACAGCGCAAACUUCAAUGUUUCCCAUGAGUUCAAAUGUUUUUCGCUUAAAAAAAAUAAUUUGGCAAUGCCUUUCAAAGACUUCUUCGCAAAAAUAAGUUUCUGUCCAACGCAUGAACUCAGCCUGCUCUUCAAACUCUGCUAUCCAUUCUUCGACAGCUAUCUGGUCAGAGCCGUCAAACAUUCGGAUAGACUCUUCAAUAUCGCGAAAACUUAUAGCAAAUCGGGGUGCGACCUGCUCAUCGUAGUUUUCCCUUUGUACGUUGUUUCGGCUUCUAUUUUCUUGUCGUCUUGUGUGCAUGUUGCUAUAGUUGUCUCCCUCACACGUGCGUAUCUCGCAAACACUGG